rnacentral:rRNA from 1 species
GACGAACGCUGGCGGCGUGCUUAACACAUGCAAGUCGAACGGUAAGGCCCUUCGGGGUACACGAGUGGCGAACGGGUGAGUAACACGUGGGUGAUCUGCCCUGCACUUUGGGAUAAGCCUGGGAAACUGGGUCUAAUACCGGAUAGGACCACUGCCUGCAUGGGUGGUGGUGGAAAGCUUUUGCGGUGUGGGAUGGGCCCGCGGCCUAUCAGCUUGUUGGUGGGGUGAUGGCCUACCAAGGCGACGAUGGGUAGCCGGCCUGAGUGGGUGACCGGCCACACUGGGACUGAGAUACGGCCCAGACUCCUACGGGAGGCAGCAGUGGGGAAUAUUGCACAAUGGGCGCAAGCCUGAUGCAGCGACGCCGCGUGAGGGAUGACGGCCUUCGGGUUGUAAACCUCUUUCAGCACCGACGAAGCGCAAGUGACGGUAGGUGCAGAAGAAGGACCGGCCAGCUACGUGCCAGCCGCCGCAGUAA